rnacentral:rRNA from 1 species
UGCCAGCAGCCGCGGUAAUACGUAGGAUCCGAGCGUUGUCCGGAGUUACUGGGUGUAAAGGGUGCGUAGGCUGUUCUGUGCGUCAGAGGUGAAAUCCACGGGCUUAACUCGUGGGGUGCCUUUGAUACGGCAGGGCUUGAGUACGAGAGAGGUGCGUGGAAUUCCUGGUGUAGCAGUGAAAUGCGUAGAUAUCAGGAGGAACACCGGUGGCGAAGGCGGCGCACUGGCUCGUAACUGACGCUGAGGCACGAAAGCGUGGGGAUCAAACAGGAUUAGAUACCCUGGUAGUCCACGCCUUAAACGAUGCAUGCUUGGUGUUGGUCUCGCAAGAGAUCAGUGCCGUAGUUAACAUGAUAAGCAUGCCACCUGGGGAGUACGAUCGCAAGGUUGAAACUCAAAUGAAUUGGCGG